UUUCAAAAAAAAAAUGGUUUUAAUAAUUUAAUGACUUUUAGAAAAUUUAUAACUCUAGGAUUUCGGUAACUCUCCAAAUUCAUACUACUAUACUAGGAUAAUACUACAAUUUUAAUGGAUAGUAUAAUUUUUCCUUAUAAGAAGUAGACUCUUCUGAAGGAAUUUUCAGUAAUCUAAAAAACAUUCUUAUUAUUAUUCAUUUCGUCUGAAUUUCUAGGUCAUCUAGAGCCUUCUCUCUUUAUCCUAACUUUAUUGCAUCCCAACCAUGAGGUAAGUGGACAGCAUUCUUGAGGAGACAAGUAGUCUAUGAUACAUGAGCUAGUCUCUUUGCAAUGCCAAAGUGCAAAUAAACAGAUCAAUUUUUGACGUACUAGACACAACCUGUGAUGAGUAUUACAGUCAAACUAAUUUCAUAACAAAGCAUUAGACUUCUCUCUAUGCACCUAAAAAUCACAUAAAAUCAUACCAAACUAUAAUUCAUGUCAGACACUUAAUUCUUAAUCCUUGGAUAGAGAAAAUCAGAAAGAGAGAGUUAUGAUAGGAGAAAGAAGAAAUUCAAAUGCCAUUAACCU
rnacentral:misc_RNA from 1 species